AUGGCCACCGAGAACCCGACCGCCUCCCCCACCGCCCGCACCCUCUCCGCGGCCUUCGCCGACGACCGCCGACGCGAGGCCAGGCGCCGGGCCGUGCCCGCCGGGCUCGUCAAGCUCAUGCUCCACCGCUGGGGCGCCGCCUGCCUCCCCAAGAACAGGGCCGCUCUCAGCGCCCGCGCCCGCGCCGCCACCCCGCCCCCGCAGACGCAUACGCAGACCCGGCCGUCAUCCGCGUCGGCGCCCCCGGCGUCGCAGGUGCCGGCACGCCAGGGCCACGCGGACGCGGCGAAUGUCGCCGCGAGGAGGCCUUUGAGGGAGAGAGAGGAAGCCGCCGCCGUCGCGGUGGCCCGAGCGCCGACUCCGACGGGAUUCCAAGAUAAGCCCGUGACAGUUGCCGGCGGUGGGAGCGGCGAUACGGCCACCACCGUCGGGAGAGGAGAAAACAUCUGGGUGAGGGUGCCGCGCAAGCGGACGUCGUCGCCGCAGGUGGACUCUCCGCAGCAGCUGUCCGUGGAAUCGACGGCGGGGGCGGCUGAGGACGAGUACGUGUGGGCGGACAGGUACCGGCCCAGUGUGCUCGGGGAAUUCAUCUGCAACAAGGCCGUCGCCGACGAGCUCCACCGGCUGGUGACCGAACAAGAGUGCAACCAUUUCAUAUUCGAAGGCGGGCAGGCCGUCGGGAAGAGAAGCAUGGUGCUGGCACUUCUAAGGGAAGCUUUUGGUCCUCAUAAUCUCCAGGUACAGGAACACUCAAAGAGAAUCGAACUGAAGGGAGAAAUUGCCAGACACAUUGAUGUGAAAAUCAAGAUUUCAGGUCAUCAUGUGGAGGUUAACCUGGCUGAUUUACAUGGCUAUGAGAAUCAUGUCAUAACUACUUUGCUGAAUGAAUCAAUCCUGCCGCCACACUCGAUCUGCGAUCAUACUAACUGCAAAGUGAUUGUGGUCCACGACGCUGAUAGGCUCUCGUCCGAUUUUCAACAUUAUAUCGGUUGGUUUUUGGGAAGGUAUGCAGGUUGCAACAAAAUCAUCUUCUGCUGCUCUGAUUCUUCAAACCUCGAGGCUGUGAAACAUCUAUGCAAGGUUGUCACACUUCAGCCACCUUCAUUUGAGGAGAUGAUCAAGGUUCUGGAGUUCAUUGCUAUGAAAGAAGGCAUAGAUUUGCCUCGCGGAAUUUCCAGCAGAAUUGCAGUGAGCGCGAGUAACAAUCUCCGACAGGCAAUACGUUCUUUUGAAGCUACAUGGAGAGCAAACUACCCAUUCAUAGAAGGUCAACCUAUUUUGACGGGAUGGGAGGAAGAAAUAUAUAAUGUGGCCAAGAAAAUCAUGGAGGAGCCAAGUCCAAAGCAGCUGUAUCUCAUUCGAGGGAAGAUCAGGAAAAUGAUUGACCAUAACGUGUCACCUUAUUUCAUUUUCCGCCACCUGGUUACCGAACUGAAAAGGGACAGGGAUAAAGAUUUUCAGAAUAGUGUCGAUGAACUGGCAUCCAAUUUGAACUACUGUGCAGGACGCAAGUUUCAGAAGGACCAAUACAAAGAAUACAGAUCUCGGGACACAACUUUGGAUAUCAGUAUAGAACAUUUUACCGUGGAAGCACAUGACCAGGGGGAAGCCAUCCAAUACUUCAUAAAGAUUGAAGAAUUCACUGUGAGGUUCAUGAGCUUCUACAGAUCUUUCAUUGCGAAAAACUCGAGUAAAGGGGCCGUUCUAUGA
rnacentral:rRNA from 1 species